GCGACCGGGUGAGUAACACGUGACUAACCUACCCUAAAGUGGGGAAUAACCUCGGGAAACCGGGGCUAAUACCGCAUAACAUUGCGGGGCUGAAAUGCCCUGCAUUCAAAGGAGCAAUUCGCUUUAGGAGGGGGUCGCGGUUGAUUAGCUAGUUGGUGAGGUAACGGCUCACCAAGGCGAUGAUCAAUAGCCGGCCUGAGAGGGCGCACGGCCACACUGGAACUGAAACACGGUCCAGACUCCUACGGGAGGCAGCAGUGGGGAAUUUUGCGCAAUGGGGGAAACCCUGACGCAGCAACGCCGCGUGGAGGAUGAAGUCCCUUGGGAUGUAAACUCCUUUCGACCGGGACGAUUAUGACGGUACCGGGAGAAGAAGCCCCGGCUAACUUCGUGCCAGCGGCCGCGGUAAUACGAGGGGGGCAAGCGUUGUUCGGAAUUAUUGGGCGUAAAGGGAGCGUAGGCGG
rnacentral:rRNA from 1 species